GGAUAUACAGUCGUGCUAAUCUUACCUCUCUGCCGCAGCAGACCCCCGCCACCAACACCUUUUCUAUCAACAGAAAACAAAACACCUCAACAGCUGCACGGAAGAAGAAAUGCGCGAGAUAUUGAAUGGACGCUGGUGUGACGGGCGGUGGUGGUAGGGACGGGGGGGCCAGCCUCCCUCCGUACCAGCUGGAG